rnacentral:rRNA from 1 species
GACGGAGGGGGCAAGCGUUGUUCGGAAUUAUUGGGCGUAAAGGGCUCGUAGGCGGAUCCGCCAGUCUGACGUGAAAUCUCCACCGCUCACCGGGGAGGGGCCGUUGGAUACUACGGAUCUGGAGUUCGGCAGAGGACCAUGGAAUUUCGGGUGUAGCGGUGGAAUGCGUAGAUAUCUGGAGGAACACCGGUGGCGAAGGCGGCGUCCUGGACCAACACUGACACUGAUGAGCGAAAGCCAGGGGAGCAAACGGG